rnacentral:rRNA from 1 species
CUACGGGAGGCAGCAGUGAGGAAUAUUGCACAAUGGGGGGAACCCUGAUGCAGCAACGCCGCGUGGAGGAUGACGCAUUUCGGUGUGUAAACUCCUUUUAUAUGUCAAGAAAAUGACGGUAGCAUAUGAAUAAGCACCGGCUAACUCCGCGCCAGCAGCCGCAGUAAUACGGAGGGUGCAAGCGUUACUCGGAAUCACUGGGCGUAAAGGACGCGUAGGCGGGUUGGAAAGUCAGGUGUGAAAUCCUACAGCUUAACUGUAGAACUGCACUUGAAACUUCUAAUCUAGAGUAUGGGAGGGGGAGAUGGAAUUAGUGGUGUAGGGGUAAAAUCCGUAGAUAUCACUAGGAAUACCUAAAGCGAAGGCGAUCUCCUGGAACAUUACUGACGCUAAGGCGUGAAAGCGUGGGGAGCAAACAGGGUUAGAUACCCUUGUAGUC